GACGAACGCUGGCGGCGUGCUUAACACAUGCAAGUCGAGCGGUAAGGCCCUUUCGGGGGUACACGAGCGGCGAACGGGUGAGUAACACGUGGGUGACCUGCCCUUAGCUCUGGGAUAAGCCUGGGAAACUGGGUCUAAUACCGGAUAUGACUCCAUGACGCAUGUUGUGGGGUGGAAAGCCUUGUGCGGCUAGGGAUGGGCCCGCGGCCUAUCAGCUUGUUGGUGAGGUAACGGCUCACCAAGGCUACGAUCAGUAGCUGGUCUGAGAGGAUGAUCAGCCUCACUGGGACUGAGACACGGCCCAGACUCCUACGGGAGGCAGCAGUAGGAAUAUUGGACAAUGGGCGCAAGCCUGAUCCAGCCAUGCCGCGCGAGUGAUGAAGGCCUUAGGGUU
rnacentral:rRNA from 1 species